UACAGAGGCCUCGAGCGUUUAGGCGGAAUCACUGGGCUUAAAGCGCGUGUAGGCGGAUCGUUAAGUACCUUGUGAAAUCCCACGGCUCAACCGUGGAACUGCUGGGUAUACUGGGCGGUCUUGGGCCAUCUAGGGGUUGCCGGAACAAGCGGUGGAGCGGUGAAAUGCGUAGAUAUCGCUUGGAACGCCAAAGGUGAAGACAGGCAACUGGAGAUGCG
rnacentral:rRNA from 1 species